AUCUGUGCAGACCCGUCCCUUUACCUUUAGUCUGCUUUAGUCGCCUCAGCUCCUCCUCAGAGAAUCCGGCCCAACCCCGCGCCAUCCGCCUCGAUUUGCCUGCACGCCUAGAACGCCCAAACCUCAGAACCCCAAUUGCCAACACAACUACCCAGGUACAUCCGGGUUCUUCCCCGGCCGCGGCUGACCAACCAAUCAGCGCAUCGAGCUCUGGACGCAAGGCCCCCUCUCCCCUGCAGCCGGACCCGGCUCUCUUCGAGGCUCUCUCCGUCAGUGCCGGACAAACUGCGUGAAGAAAUCGUGGCCUCGCAGACAUUCAUUUCCCCUGACCUGGCUGCUCUUUCUCCCUGUCUCCUAUACUUGUUGGGUUAUCGCUUCAAGAGCUCUUCCUCAUGGUGACUGGUUUCUUCAAAUAAUGUAUAUUUUAUUGGGAGUUUAUCUUCAAAAAAGUUCUGUAAGAGCCCUUUAUAUCUUGGAUUGAGAGACUACAGAUUGGUUUUGCUGGUCCCUAGAACUUUCAUUUGCUUUAAACCAGAUUUAAGACCCUAGUUUAUUUUUCUUUUUGAAUUGUGUUGGCUAAUACCUCCAGGAUAAUGUUAAAUGAAGCAUCUUAGUUCCCCAACCAGGGAUCAAACCUGAGCCCCCUGCAUUGGAAGCGCAGAGUCUUAACCACUGGACCACCAGGGAAGUCCCUAACUUCUUACUCUGAAGUGGAGCUGCCGUCCUGCUCAUUGGAAGCCGUGUCUACUUUAGCUAUUGGAGCUUGUCGUCGAAGAUUUUAUGAAGAAAGAAUGACUCACCAACUCCUAAAAUCGUCAACUUCAAGGGCCUUCUCAAAAUCAGAGGUUACAAAGGGGACGGAAAUGGUGCAUGUGGCAGAUGUCAGAUGAGAACAAGUGCCAUGAAGAAAAAAUAUGUAUCAGACUAAGGGGAAAGAAGGAGUGACUGGAGUGUUUGUGCACAUGUGUGUGCACGCAAGCACGGGAGUCAUUGAAUUACAAGGGGAAGCUAGGGAAGACCUCUCCGAGAAGAAGACAUCGAGAGAGACCUGAGGAAUAAGGAGAACGAACCAUGAGGAGUCAGUGGAACAGUUCACCUCCACUCCAGCUUCUACCACCAAAGUUCAUAGAUGACUCCUUAUAGGACUCAACAAAGCAAAGGAUCUACCAGCAACAGAACCAAACUUCCAUGGGCAUUUUGCCACUAUGUUUUGUUAACAGUUCCUUAUGGUCUUUGCCCUAAUUCCUAAGAGGCUAAUUAAUCAAAAUGUGUCUUCCAAACAAAUCACUAACCUGAAAUAAGAAUCACAGGCCAGGUUGUCAAUGUGUCUAAGCUUUUAAGUAGAAUUCUUAUAAAGCAAAUCCAGAAAAAUAAGAGCCACAUAAAAAUAUUGUCUUCCUUUAUCCUUUAACCUAACCCAAUAUUUCUUUUCUAGAAAUCUUUCCUAAAGAAAUGAUACAAAUGUGGACGAAGCUUUAUGUGCAGAGAUGAUCACUGGACUAUUAUUUAUAAAACUGAAAACUUGACAGUCUAAACUAUAAGAUAAUUUUUAUUAAAAUAAUAAAGUAGGGAUCAUUAAGCUGUUUAAUGUCUACAAAUAAUUAUUGAUGAUAUGGUAAAUUGACUAUAAGUGAUAGAGGUAGAGAAAAUGGUAUCAAAUAGUGCACAGAAUAUUACCUCAACUAUAAACAAAAAGUUUGGAAAAAUUAGAACUAACUCUAACAAAAUUGAGAUAUUAGUUUUGCCUACUCUAGAUUUCACAUAAUGGAAUAUACAACAGUGUAAUGGAAAAUACAUAUAAGUGCACAUAUUCUUGUUUCUCGCUUUCUUCUGUCCGUGCAAUGUUAUUGAAACUUCAUGUUGUUGAGUGCGGCAGUAGUUCGUUCCUCUUUUAUUUUUAAAAUUAUUUUGGCUGGGUAGUAUUCAUAAUUUGUUUCUCCAUUAACCUGUUUAUAGACCCUUAGGCUGUUUCCAGUUUGGGGUCAUUAAAAAUAAAGCUGUUAUGAACAUCUGUAUAUAAGACAUUUUGUGGACAUAUGUUUUCAGCUUUUAUUGUAAAUACCUAGAAAUGAAAUCACUGGUCAAACAGUAAGUGUACUUUAAUACAAAUUGUCAAACUGCAUUCUAAAGAGGUGUACUAUUUUACACUUCUACCAUCAAUGUAUGAGACUUUCUGUUGCUUUUCAUCCAUAAAACCAGUGAAUAUUGACAGGUUUUUUUACCAUUCUAAAUGCAUGUAUAAUAAUGCUUCAUUGUGGGUUUGAUUUGUGUUCCCUGAUUACUGAUUAUGUGUAACAUAUUUUCUGCUACUCGUUGGUCAUAUAUAUUUUUUCUUUUGCAAAA